UGAUCUCUGAGAAGUGAGUAGCUGGAGGCACCAGGAUACCAGCCAAGCCUAAAGGAUAAAGCAAAUCCCUGGACAUGGCUUUUGAUUCCAAGCGAAGAAGUGCAAGAAGCUCUUCCAAAUACAACUGCAACUGCCAAGAGAUUGAUGGACCAGAGAAUGGCCUCUUCAUUCCAGGCACUUCUCAAGUCCAAGUGGUCAAAUACCAGCCUCUUUUUACCAAUGUUCCCACCUGUUUCAUUCAGCCAAAUUUCAUUAAAUGAAGGAAUGUGGUGCAUUUCUUGAGAUUGAGAAUACAGAUAAGAAGCAGGUUUGAAUGGUGAAGAAAUGAUGGACCCUGUUUGUCUCAAACAAGGACUCUAAUGAUACAACAGAAUAAGUCACAAGAAAGCUUGCCUGGAACACCAUACACUGGCCUCUUCGUGGUAAAGUCCUUCACAAUCCUUACAAACAUAGAAAAUAUUCAGCAGUUCGUUUGUUUGUUUGUUUUCCAGUCCACUCUUACUUAAGAAAAAUGCAAAACAUCAAAGACACAAAAAACCACCAGUCUAUACAGCUUGCCCAUACUAAAUUGUUAUUCAUUUCAGGAGAGUGUACAGUUUCUUUCUGUAAGACUCUAUUAAACCAGUUACUCUACAAUAGCAAACAUUUUAGGCAAACCUAACCAUUGCUUCCCAUAAAGAUAUUUAUAUCUUUAAGUGGUAUCUGAUUCAUCCCUAAGAAAU
rnacentral:lncRNA from 1 species